rnacentral:snoRNA from 1 species
CAUUGCAUGAUGAGAAAUCUUUUUAUUAUGAACAGUUAUCCCUGUCUGAAUGGGGUGUGGUACCCCGCAGCGUGUCGAUACAAACUUACUCUGAGCCAAUG